ACCAGACGAUGCGGUUACCGCGGCUGCUGGCACGGAGUUAGCCGGUGCUUCUUCUGCGAGUAACGUCACAGAUGUAAGGUAUUAACUUACACCCUUUCCUCCUCGCUGAAAGUGCUUUACAACCCGAAGGCCUUCUUCACACACGCGGCAUGGCUGCAUCAGGGUUUCCCCCAUUGUGCAAUAUUCCCCACUGCUGCCUCCCGUAGGAGUCUGGGCCGUGUCUCAGUCCCAGUGUGGCUGAUCAUCCUCUCAGACCAGCUAGGGAUCGUCGCCUAGGUGAGCCUUUACCUCACCUACUAGCUAAUCCCACCUGGGCUUAUCCAUCAGCGCAAGGCCCGAAGGUCCCCUGCUUUCCCCCGUAGGGCGUAUGCGGUAUUAGCAGUCGUUUCCAACUGUUAUCCCCCACAAAUGGGCAAAUUCCCAGGCAUUACUCACCCGUCCGCCGCUCGUCAUCUUCAAAAGCAAGCUUUUGAAAUGUUACCGCUCGACUUGCAUGUGUUAGGCCUGCCGCCAGCGUUCAAU
rnacentral:rRNA from 1 species